rnacentral:rRNA from 1 species
AUGCACCGCCGACCCGCGCGAGGGAUGCAACCACCUGGACCCGCGCUUCCGCCUGCGCCGCCGGAUCAUGCUGUCCAACCGCACCGACGGCGACGGUCGCCGCUUCCUCAACCUCUCCACCGGCGCCAGCGCCCGCGCAGACCUACCACCGAGGGCCUCUUGCUCCUGCGUGACAAGGCGAGCCACGCCGUGCAGCUCCUCAACCCGCUCACCAGGGCCCUCGUCAGGGACGUCAUCAGGGUGGAGCACCUUGUGAAGGAGCACCGGUGGAACCUAAUUCAGGUGUUGGAGGUGGAUGUGGCCGGGAAGCGGCUUGUUCCGGUGGAGGACAUUGGCCGGCACCGCGCCGUGUUUGUCGGGGAUGUGGCCUGCUUCUCCCUCUCGGUCAGGAGGUUUCCAUGCGUGGCAGGGAACGCGAUACACAUGGGGGCGCUUGGGGCUCGCUGCCCUCCUGUCGGCGUGCGGUAUCUGGCCGACAAGACUGCUGAUCUGUCGUUUGUGUUCGCCACCGACGUGCCAGGGCUUCUAGACGAUAUAUCAGUGAAACGGUACCGCCAGAGGAUACCGGAGCUGAAUCUAGUGCCUCUUGCUCGCCCUUGUACACUCCAAGAGUACCUUGUCUGUUGCGCUCUCGUCCUUGGCGGUCUCAAAGACUAA